rnacentral:rRNA from 1 species
CUACGGGAUGCACCAGUGAGGAAUAUUGCACAAUGGAGGAAACUCUGAUGCAGCAACGCCGCGUGGAGGAUGACGCAUUUCGGUGUGUAAACUCCUUUUAUAUGUCAAGAAAAUGACGGUAGCAUAUGAAUAAGCUCCGGCUAACUCCGUGCCAGCAGCCGCGGUAAUACGGAGGGAGCAAGCGUUACUCGGAAUCACUGGGCGUAAAGGACGCGUAGGCGGGAUAGAAAGUCAGGUGUGAAAUCCUAUGGCUCAACCAUAGAACUGCACUUGAAACUUCUAACCUAGAGUAUGGGAGGGGAAGAUGGAAUUAGUGGUGUAGGGGUAAAAUCCGUAGAUAUCACUAGGAAUACCAAAAGCGAAGGCGAUCUUCUGGAACAAUACUGACGCUAAGGCGUGAAAGCGUGGGGAGCAAACAGGAUUAGAUACCCCUGUAGUC